UACAACAUAGCGUUAAUGUACAUGAUCCCAUUAGAACUCUACAAUUAAGGGUGCUCAAGCUAGAGUAGUACUGGGAUGGGUGACCUCCCAGGAAGUCCUAGUGUUUUAC
rnacentral:rRNA from 1 species